rnacentral:rRNA from 1 species
AACGAACGCUGGCGGCAGGCCUAACACAUGCAAGUCGAGCGGACCUUUCGGGGUCAGCGGCGGACGGGUGAGUAACGCGUGGGAAUAUGCCCUUCUCUACGGAAUAGUCCUGGGAAACUAGGGGUAAUACCGUAUACGCCCUUCGGGGGAAAGAUUUAUCGGGGAAGGAUUAGCCCGCGUUGGAUUAGGUAGUUGGUGGGGUAAUGGCCUACCAAGCCGACGAUCCAUAGCUGGUUUGAGAGGAUGAUCAGCCACACUGGGACUGAGACACGGCCCAGACUCCUACGGGAGGCAGCAGUGGGGAAUCUUAGACAAUGGGGGCAACCCUGAUCUAGCCAUGCCGCGUGAGUGAUGAAGGCCUUAGGGUUGUAAAGCUCUUUCAGCUGGGAAGAUAAUGACGGUACCAGCAGAAGAAGCCCCGGCUAACUCCGUG